UACAGAGGUCUCAAGCGUUGUUCGGAUUCAUUGGGCGUAAAGGGUGCGUAGGCGGCGCGGUAAGUCGGGUGUGAAAUCUCGGGGCUUAACUCCGAAACUGCAUUCGAUACUGCCGUGCUUGAGGACUGGAGAGGAGACUGGAAUUUACGGUGUAGCGGUGAAAUGCGUAGAUAUCGUAAGGAAGACCAGUGGCGAAGGCGGGUCUCUGGACAGUUCCUGACGCUGAGGCAAGAAGGCCAGGGGAGCAAACGGG
rnacentral:rRNA from 1 species